rnacentral:rRNA from 1 species
CAUAUCAAUAAGCGGAGGAAAAGAAACCAACAGGGAUUGCCCCAGUAACGGCGAGUGAAGCGGCAACAGCUCAAAUUUGAAAUCUGGCUCUCAGGGCCCGAGUUGUAAUUUGUAGAGGAUGCUUUUGGCGAGGUGCCUUCCGAGUUCCCUGGAACGGGACGCCACAGAGGGUGAGAGCCCCGUAUGGUCGGACACCGAGCCUCUGUAAAGCUCCUUCGACGAGUCGAGUAGUUUGGGAAUGCUGCUCAAAAUGGGAGGUAUAUGUCUUCUAAAGCUAAAUAUUGGCCAGAGACCGAUAGCGCACAAGUAGAGUGAUCGAAAGAUGAAAAGCACUUUGAAAAGAGGGUUAAAAAGUACGUGAAAUUGUUGAAAGGGAAGCGCCUAUGACCAGACUUGCGCCCGGUGAAUCACCCAGCGUUCUCGCUGGUGCACUUUGCCGGGCACAGGCCAGCAUCAGUUCAGCGCGGGGGAGAAAGGCUUCGGGAAUGUGGCUCCCUCGGGGAGUGUUAUAGCCCGCUGCGUAAUGCCCUGCGCCGGACUGAGGUACGCGCAUUGCAAGGAUGCUGGCGUAAUGGUCAUCAGCGACCCGUCUUGAAACACGGACCAAGGAGUCGUCUUCGUAUGCGAGUGUUCGGGUGUCAAACCCCUACGCGUAAUGAAAGUGAACGUAGGUGAGAGCUUCGGCGCAUCACCGACCGAUCCUGAUGUUCUCGGAUGGAUUUGAGUAAGAGCAUACGGGGCCGGACCCGAAAGAAGGUGAACUAUGCCUGUAUAGGGUGAAGCCAGAGGAAACUCUGGUGGAGGCUCGCAGCGGUUCUGACGUGCGAAUCGAUCGUCAAAUAUGGGCAUGGGGGCGAAAGACUAAUCGAACCUUCUAGUAGCUGGUUUCCGCCGAAGUUUCCCUCAGGAUAGCAGUGUUGAACUCAGUUUUAUGAGGUAAAGCGAAUGAUUAGGGACUCGGGGGCGCUAUAUUGCCUUC